GACGAAGGUGGCUAGCGUUGUUCGGUGUCACUGGGCUUAAAGAGUAUGUAGGCGGAAAAGUAAGCGUUUUGUGAAAUCCCUCAGCUUAACUGAGGAAUUGCUUGGCGAACUGCUUUUCUUGAGGCAAGUAGGGGUGCAUGGAACUCUUGGUGGAGCGGUGGAAUGCGUAGAUAUCAAGAGGAACGCCGGUGGUGAAGACGGUGCACUGGGCUUGUCCUGACGCUCAGAUACGAAAGCGUGGGGAGUAAACAGG
rnacentral:rRNA from 1 species